CCUGAUUGAUUCUGUCAGCGCGAUAUGCUCAAGUAAAAGAUUAAGCCAUGCAUGCUUGAUUCAUCAAUGAAAUUGCGUACGGCUCAUUAGAGCAGAUAUAAUCUCGUUCGGAAUUCCAAUAUGGAUAACUGCGGAAAUACUGGAGCUAAUACAUGCAACUAAGCCCUGACGCAAGGAUGGGCGCAAUUAUUAGAUCAAGCCAGACGUUCUCGGACGUAGUUUGUUGACUCUGAAUAAAGCAGUUUAGUGUCAGUUUCGACUGACUCUAUCCGAAAAGAGUGUCUGCCCUUUCAACUAGAUGGUAGUUCAUUGGACUACCAUGGUUGUUACGGGUAACGGAGAAUAAGGGUUCGACUCCGGAGAGGGAGCCUUAGAAACGGCUACCACGUCCAAGGAAGGCAGCAGGCGCGAAACUUAUCCACUGUUAAUUAUGAGAUAGUGACUAAAAAUAUAAAGACUCAUCCUUUUGGAUGAGUUAUUUCAAUGAGUUGAAUUUAAACAAUUCUUCGAGUAACAAGGAGAGGGCAAGUCUGGUGCCAGCAGCCGCGGUAAUUCCAGCUCUCCUAGUGUAUCUCGUUAUUGCUGCGGUUAAAAAGCUCGUAGUUGGAUCUAGGUUACGUACUGUAGUUCGCUUUUAGCGUUAACUUUGGUCGUAGCUUCUAUCGGCUGGUUUGAGGGUGGUUCGCCAUCAGCUGCCAGCAGGUUUACCUUGAACAAAUCAGAGUGCUCAAUACAAGCGCUUGCUUGAAUAGCUCAUCAUGGAAUAAUGAAACAGGACUUCGGUUCUUUUUGUUGGUUCUAGAACUGAUUUAAUGGUUAAGAGGGACAAACCGGGGGCAUUCGUAUCAUUACGCGAGAGGUGAAAUUCGUGGACCGUAGUGAGACGCCCAACAGCGAAAGCAUUUGCCAAGAAUGUCUUCAUUAAUCAAGAACGAAAGUCAGAGGUUCGAAGGCGAUUAGAUACCGCCCUAGUUCUGACCGUAAACGAUGCCAUCUCGCGAUUCGGAGGGUUUUUGCCUUGCCGAGGAGCUAUCCGGAAACGAAAGUCUUUCGGUUCCGGGGGUAGUAUGGUUGCAAAGCUGAAACUUAAAGAAAUUGACGGAAGGGCACCACAAGGCGUGGAGCUUGCGGCUUAAUUUGACUCAACACGGGAAAACUCACCCGGUCCGGACACCAUUAGGACUGACAGAUUGAAAGCUCUUUCUCGAUUUGGUGGUUGGUGGUGCAUG
rnacentral:rRNA from 1 species